UCCGUAGGUGGAUAAUUAAGUCAGAGGUGAAAUCCCACAGCUUAACUGUGGAACUGCCUUAGAUACUGAUGAUCUUGAGUUUUAGUGAAGUAGAUAGAAUGUGUAGUGUAGCGGUGAAAUGCAUAGAUAUUACACAGAAUACCGAUUGCGAAGGCAGUCUACUAACUAACAACUGACGCUAAUGGACGAAAGCGUGGGGAGCGAACAGGAUUAGAUACCCUGGUAGUC
rnacentral:rRNA from 1 species